rnacentral:lncRNA from 1 species
CUGCUCAGCCUGAAAACUUGAUUUUGAUAGAAGAGGAAGAAUUUUGCCUGUAAACCUACCUCAUCAGUCUCUUUAACACAAACAUGACAGCAAUGCAACUGGAAGGUUUUGGAGAUAAUGAUGCAGACCCAUGGAAUCGGAUGUAGUUGGACUGGGGUGGGAGACACAGGUGUAUUAUUUAUGCUUGCAAAGGAGUGGUGACAAUUUGGUUUUCUUGGCUUGAUUGAUUUGGUGAGCUGAAAGAAAGACACUGCUUCAUCAGAAUUCAAACAACAGAAAACAUCUCCCAGACAUUGCCACAGCUACUCCAACCUUCAUUACCCACCACUCUGGCCACAUCAAGCAAGCAGCAGCGACGUGUUUCUCUUCAACACGGAUAAUUGCCUUAACAAUACGUCAUCCUGGUUCACAACAACGCAGUAGAUAUGCUGACCACUGACAGUAACAAAAUGACCUGCAUGGUUCAAAGGAAAUCAAACCUGUGAGCUUUCCCAGCAGCAGCUAUGCCAUGGUAUCACAUCUGAAAGUAGCAGUGAAGUGUAUUAUUCUCCUGUCGUAAGAUUGUAUUAUGAGAGAGAAAAAAAAAAGAAGCAGCAAGACACAGAAAAAGGACCUUGAAUAUCUAGUGAGAAGGCA